AUUAAUGGUAACAUACAGUAGAUUGUUAAUAUUUUUAAGUGAAUUCAUACACUUUUUCUAACUUCUUAUUUAACUUCUAACACAGGAAAUAGUGAUAGAUUAAACUCACAUAAAUAGCAGCCUUUUGGAGUUCUCAGUAAUUGUUAAGAGUGUAUAGGGUUCUGUAGAACAAGAAGUUUGAGAGCCCCUGGAGAACGGGUGCUCAGAUGCUAGUCGGGUGCUUAGUGGUGUUAGACGGAUGCCAAGAUGUCUUCCACAACUGCUCCCGGACUUGAAGUAAUUGGCCACAUGGAGAUGGGUGGGCAGUGCCUCCACUUUACAAACCAGAAGCUGCUGAAUGUGUCUGGAGUCUAGGCCAUGGGCUGUGCAGGGAUUCCCGUUGUAUCUGUUCUAUCUAAGCCGGGAUUCCUGUGCAGAGGCCUGGCCCUGAAGACCCGCUCUCCUUUGCUCCCAGCCAGGUACCUUCUGUGUGACUUCAACCCUCCAGAGGGUUCAACUCCGUAGGAACGUCUGCAUCCACAUUGCCUUCCUCCUGAAGACCCUGCUGAAGAUGGAGGAGCCGGUACUGGUGCUAUUCCCUUGGGGCCACCUCUACCACUGGCAGAGCCCCGAUCCCUGGUCCGACUCCUUUGACCUCCCAAGUCUCAACAGAAACAUCCCUGACAUUGAGUACGAGCAGUUCAUUGCAGGGUUCACUUGGUGAUAAUAAUCAUAACCAAAGCAACAGCAAACCCUUACAGAACUCUGUCCUGCUGUUCCAGGAACGCUGUGUUCAUGACAACCCAAUGAGUUGGCACCACUAUGAGUUCCACUUUAAAGUGCCUGCCACCCUGGCCUCCCUGCUCAUCUGCCUCAGUCAGGAGCACCUGGACCACCAGCUCUGUAUUGCCUCGCCUCCUACCAUCAAGACGUCAAAGUUCAUUCUCCUUCCACCACCCAGUAUGGUCAUUGUAGGGUUCUUCUGUCAGCCUGAGCCAGCCCCACCCAUUCACCCUACCCCCGGGCUAUACCGGGCGUGUCUCCCCCAAGUCCAGCCUCUCUCCUUUAAGUGCCCACCACUUAGCCGUCCAGUCUUCUCCACCAGCCUCCCUGGCCCUCCUUCACCCUCACUGGGGAUCAUGCGACUGCUCUGCUUCCUGCCUGUCCACGUUCCUCUUACUUCCACUUCCCCACCUUCCAGCUCUGCAUCCACAGUCAGCACUCUCUUUAUGACAGACAAAACCCCCUUGAGCCUUGACCUUUUCAGUUCCUCACCAGGCCGACUUCCAUCUCGGUUCACCCAGCUCUACUUGUUCUGAGCCUGCAGGCAGCAGGCUCUCCCAGCACAGUCCAAGACUACAAAUCAAUGCCCACCAUGUUGCCGCUGCCAGGCAAUCCUCCAGGAUUCUCUAGUGAGCACAUUUCCCCACUUAUCACUCAGUGGGUGUAACAUUCUCUGCUCUCUGCACACCUCUAACCUUCCCUCUGUCUCUUCCCUGUCCCAGCAGAUGGCCUUGCCUCCUGCUCAGAGAGAAUGACAUGUCACUGGAAAGGAACUCGCUCACCUGCAGCAAACCCUGCACCUCACUUUUAUCUGUCCUCUCCC
ensembl:lncRNA